AUUGAACGCUGGCGGCAUGCUUUACACAUGCAAGUCGAACGGCAGCGGGUCCUUCGGGAUGCCGGCGAGUGGCGAACGGGUGAGUAAUGCAUCGGAACGUACCGUGUAAUGGGGGAUAACGUAGCGAAAGUUACGCUAAUACCGCAUACGCCCUGAGGGGGAAAGCGGGGGAUCGCAAGACCUCGCGUUAUACGAGCGGCCGAUGUCGGAUUAGCUAGUUGGUGGGGUAAAGGCUUACCAAGGCGACGAUCCGUAGCGGGUCUGAGAGGAUGAUCCGCCACACUGGGACUGAGACACGGCCCAGACUCCUACGGGAGGCAGCAGUGGGGAAUUUUGGACAAUGGGGGCAACCCUGAUCCAGCCAUGCCGCGUGCGGGAAGAAGGCCUUCGGGUUGUAAACCGCUUUCGGACGGGAAGAAAUUGUUCUGGCUAAUACCCAGGAUGGAUGACGGUACCGUAAGAAGAAGCACCGGCUAACUACGUGCCAGCAGCCGCGGUAAUACGUAGGGUGCGAGCGUUAAUCGGAAUUACUGGGCGUAAAGCGUGCGCAGGCGGUUUCUUAAGCCAGAUGUGAAAUCCCCGGGCUUAACCUGGGAACUGCAUUUGGAACUGGGAGACUAGAGUGCGUCAGAGGGGGGUAGAAUUCCACGUGUAGCAGUGAAAUGCGUAGAGAUGUGGAGGAACACCGAUGGCGAAGGCAGCCCCCUGGGAUGACACUGACGCUCAUGCACGAAAGCGUGGGGAGCAAACAGGAUUAGAUACCAUGGUAGUCCACGCCCUAAACGAUGUCAACUGGUUGUUGGGAGAGC
rnacentral:rRNA from 1 species